UGCAAAGGUGACAGCUGACUUUUUAGGCUAAUAUUUAAACAGGGCAAUGAGUAAUCUGAAAAAAGAUAAAUUUCUUAGACAUUCUGCUUUCGGUGUAAUUUGAAUUUUUGUGGUCUCUUAUUGCCAGCCUGAACUGAAUCAUUUGAGAUUUGCCUGAUGUUUUUCUGGCAGAUAUGCAACUGAAACUUUUUCAUGGUUUUGAUUUUUUUUCUUGCCAUUUUGUUCUGGACAAUACUGGAUUUUUACAGAGGAGGAGUCUUGCUCCAUAACAAGCUUUUACAGACCAAGGAACAUUGUCACAUAAUUCCAUUACUGAAUCCAGCAGAUUUUUGUUAAAUUACGACACCUCUCUUAGGAAGAUAUUAAAUAAUGAUUUAAAGACUUAAAGAUAUGUUGCUACUCUAACAUAUCUGCCUGCCUGCUGUUAUAGCAGGGAACAAUAGCAGAAGGAAGCUCAGCAGCAGUAACGGAAUAACUGAUGCCUGGUCAAGCUCAUUAACAGAUAUCAUAUCUAGGAACGGAGAAAUGAGGCCCGCUGUGUUACCCACCAUACCUGAUGAAGACGUAGGCUUGAGAUCUUUGCAUAGUAAGUGGAAGAAGAGAGUACUCCAGCAGGUGCGACCACCGUUUUUUCAAAGGAGCACAGCCCAUGGGCUCAGGAUCUGUGUGGGAAAGUUACUCCAAGACCCCCAUCCCAUGCAGGAGGGAUGGUGUGUGCCUGGAUCUCACCCAUAAUCACAGGAUGCAACUGGUAGAAAUCAGUUACUUUUUAAGAGCCAAAACCGUUUCUUUUCAAACAGAAUUAGCCACUGGCUCAGCACUGGGACCUGCUCAGCCGUUCUUCACAACAUCACUCUGACCAAGUGAGGACUCAUCAGUCAUCUCAGGGAAAGGUUUGCUAAUGUACAUCUCAAACCAAAACUCAGCCUAAAACAAGUAUCUCUGAAGUGGCAAGAAGGAUGUGUGGGACAGAGUGAAAAGCUGAAAAGGGCAAUGGUACAUGGGCUUGCUGGGGCAAGUCUUCCCUCAUGACAUUUAGGGUUGCUGCUAAGUGUCUGCUUCUCUCCAUGAACAUCACUGCUGAGGGACUUGGCAUCCUUGUAUUUUAUCUAUAUAAUCACUGGCUUAUAUCCUCAAGGCAAGUGUUCAUUGUAUGAUAACUAGGACUAAACACAGGAUGGAAGUGUCCCAACUUCAUUCUGAGUUAUUUUUCUUUCCCUACCAAAUGCUGAGAUUCCUGUCAUCUACCAUUCACUGCCUUGGAGAUAGACAUCCUUUUGGGCUGCUUCCCCAUGGGAAGCAAUGAGUCAGUCUGGCAUCCCAUCACCAUCAGAGGAGGAAUGUCCCUUACCCCCAGUCCACCCCAUCAUUUCCCAUAGAAUCAGAGAAUCAUAGAAUAGUUUG